UUUCAAUUAUCUCAAUGUUAAAACGUGACUCAUUUGGACUCAGUCAUUAUGAAAGCACCAACAUUCAAGAAGACAAUAGGGGCUGAGCGCUUCCACUGCCCAAUGUGCGCUAGACCCUAGGUCAACUCAGAAGUAUUGGAGACAGUCAUCAGUGUUGUGGCAAAUGUUACCUAAGUGUGUUGCAAGACGACCCUGAGGUUCCGAUGAAGGUGUGGAUCAUCAUAGAGAAGCCACAUGUGACUAUCAAUGCUUUCUGCUGACAAUAAAUUGGAAAGUUUUAUUCAAAUUUGUCAAAUUGGCGAAAAAUUAAAAAUCACCACAAAAUUACUUUGCAAAUACUAGAAAAACUGAAUGAUCCUAUGUUAAGAGAUUUCAGAUAACUUCAUAGCAUAUUUUUAUAUAUUCGUGAUAUUGUGAAAUAUGUAUUUGGUCUUUGUACAUGUUUCCUGGUAUACAGUUCCUAAAAUCCUUGACGUCUUCCAAGUGCUUUUUUAUGCUAAUGUUGACUGAUAGUUUCAGGGUGGGACUGAUCAGCAGAAAAAAGCAUGAGUAGGGAGAUGGGGCUUUCAGCCCCACCCCUAACCUCCAGGGAGCAGAGAUGAAGGUCAAAUAGAUCACCAGUGACCAAUGGUUCAAUCAAUCAUGCCUAUGUAAUGAAGCUUUCAUAAAUCCUAGGAGGACAGGAUUUAAAGAGCUUCCUGAUAGCUGAGCACGUGGAGACUGACGGAAAGGUAAACAAGAACGGAUCCGUGAGCCAGGAAGAUGGACCUCCCGCAUUCCAGCUGGACAGAACAGAAGCUUCUGCACUUGGGACCCAUCCAGACCUCACCCUACGUAUCCCUUCAUUAGCCUGUUUAUUUGUGUUCUUUAAACUAUCCUUUGUAAUAAACCGAUAAACAUAAUAGGUAUUUCUCCAAGUUCUAUGAGCCACUCUAGCAAAGUAAUCAAACCCAAAGAGGAGGUUAUGGGAAUCCCAAGUUGAAGCCAUUCAGUUGAAAGUUCCAGAGGCCCAGACUUGGAACAGGCACGAAGGAGGUUUUGUGGAAUUAAGUCCUCAGCAUGUGGGAUCUGAGGCUAUGUCCAGGUAGACAGAAACGGAACUGAAUUGGAGGACACCCAGCUUAUGUCUGCUACAGAACUGAUUGCUCCCUUCCUGGUGGGGAGAAAUUCCCACACAUUUUGUGGUCACAGUAAUCUUCUGUGUUGAUUGCUGUGCUAUGAGACCAGGGGAGAAUCACAAAUUGAAGGAUUUUUCAAAACAUUUGUAAAUAGAUCAUUAAAUAAUAUAAUUACAUACUUAAUCAUCUCCUUUAUGAAGAAACCACAAGGCCCAGAUCUUUUUAUGUGCAAGUUCUAAGUAUUCAGUAAAUGAAAAUUUCCAUAUUACAGAAACUUUUUUACAGUAUAUUCUUCAACUUAAUUAUUGAGGAGAGUUUGUUUUUGAUACCAAAACCAGAAAAGAAUAGUAUGAGAAAUAAAAAUUACAAGUUAAACUCAUGAAUGUGAGCAGAUUCACUCUGCUCUAACUAUUGCAAAUUGAUUGCUGCAAUGAAUGAGAACAACACAGAAAUUUAUCCCAGGAAUUCAAGAAUGGUUUCCCAAUUUAUCCAAUAUCAUGCAUGAAUCUCAAAAGCAUUAGGUUGAAUCUUUUUUUUAAGAUAUAAAAGACUACAUAUUUUAUGAUUCUGUUUACAUGCCAUUUGGGACAGAAAGGGUAGAGUUUGUCUGGAGAUGUGGGAGAAGCUUGGGUAAUUUUAUGGGGUAAUAGAAAUAGUCCAUAUAUUGAUACAUAGUGGUAAGGGUUGCACAGCUGUGUAUGUUUGCCAAAAUUCAUUGAACUGUAUACUUAAAAGGAGUAAAUUUGCUUUUUUUCUUGGGACGGUAGAGGCCGUGUGGUGUGGCCAUUACUCCGAGGAGAGAUCAGUCGGUAGAGGAGAAGGCGAGGUUAGAGAGGACUGGGAGGCAUUUUGCUGUCUUCAAUCGAAGUUGAGGGUGCAAAAUGCAGAGUAAUAAAACGUUUAACUUGGAGAAGCAAAACCAUACUCCAAGAAAGCAUCAUCAGCAUCACCACCAGCAGCAACAGCAGCAGCCACAGUUACCGCCAAUACCUGCAAAUGGGCAACAGGCCAGCAGCCAAAAUGAAGGCUUAACUAUUGACCUGAAGAAUUGUAGGAAACCAGGAGAGAAGACCUUCACCCAAGGAAGCCGUCUCUUUGUGGGAAAUCGUCCUCACGACAUCACCGAGGAAGAAAUGAGGAAACUAUUUGAGAAAUAUGGAAAGGCAGGCGAGGUCUUCAUUCAUAAGGAUAAAGGAUUUGGCUUUAUCCACUUGGAAACACGCACCCUAGCGGAGAUUGCCGAAGUGGAGCUGGACAAUAUGCCACUCCGUGGAAAGCAGCUGCGUGUGCGCUUUGCCUGCCAUAGUGCAUCCCUUACAGUUCAAAACCUUCCUCAGUAUGUGUCCAACGAACUGCUGGAAGAAGCCUUUUCUGUGUUCGGCCAGGUGGAGAGGGCUGUAGUGAUUGUGGAUGUUGGAGGAAGGCCCUCGGGCAAAGGCAUCGCUGAGUUCUCAGGGAAGCCAGCUGCUCAGAAAGCUCUGGACAGAUGCAGUGAAGGCUCCUUCCUGCUAACCACAUUUCCUCGUCCUGUGACUGUGGAGCCCAUGGACCAGUUAGAUGAUGAAGAGGGACUUCCAGAGAAGCUGCUUGUAAAGAACCAGCAAUUUCACAAGGAACAAGAGCAGCCACCCAGAUUUGCACAACCUGGCUCCUUCGAGUAUGAGUAUGCCAUGCGCUGGAAGGCACUCACUGAGAUGGAGAAGCAGCAGCAGGACCAAAUGGACUGCAACAUCAAGGAGGCUCGUGAGAAGCUACAGACGGAGAUGGAGGCUGCACGCCAUGAGCACCAGGUCAUGCUAGUGAGACAGGAUUUGAUGAGGCGCCAAGAAGAACUUCAGAGGAUGGAAGAGCUGCAUAACCAAGAGGUGCACAAACGAAAGCAGCUGGAGCUCAGGCAGGAGGAAUAGCGCAGGCGCCAGGAAGAAGAGAUGUGGCGACAGCAGGAAGGAUUCAAGGGAACCUUCCCUGAUGCGAGACAGCAGGAGAUUCGGAUGGGUCAGAUGGCUAUGGGAGGUGCUAUGGGCCUAAACAACAGAGGUGCCAUGCCCCCUGCUCCUGUGCCAGCUGGUACCCCAGCUCCUCCAGGACCUGCCACUAUGAUGCUGGAUGGAACUUUGGGAUUGACCCCCAACAACUGAACGCUUUGGUUAGGCUGCUACAAUGGAAGGAAUUUGGGAAACUGGUGGAACUCCUCCUGCAUUCAACCAUGCAGCUCCUGGAGCUGAAUUCGCUCCAAACAAACGUCGCCAAUGCUAAUAAAGUUGCAGUGUCUAGACCCUUUUUGGACUAGCCAGAAUUCUACCCUGGAAAAGUGUUAGGGAUUCCUUCCAAUAGUUAGAUCUACCCUACCUGUACUAUAGGGAGUAUGCUGGAGCAGAGGGCAAGGGAGGGGUGGUAUAAACAAAUCAUGCGUGGUAUAAUGUUUAAUCAGUUCUGUGUGGUGCAUUCCUGAAGUCUCAAAUGUGAUUGUUGAGCGCCUGGGGAAAUCAUGGCAAAGUGGAUCCAGUUAGAGCCCAUUAAUCUUGAACAUUCUGGGUUUUUUGUUUUUGUUUUUGUUUUUUGUCCAUCUUGUUUCAUUUGCUUGCUUCUUGCCUACCUGGAAACAGAGUCUCUCUGUCACCCAGGCUGGAGUGCAGUGUGUGAUCUUGGCUCACUGCAGCCUCUGCCUCCUGAGUUCAAGUUUGUCCAGGCUGGUCUUGAACUCCUGACCUUGUGAUCCACCUUCCUCAGCCUCCCAAAGUGCUGGGAUUACAGGUGCAAGCUACUGUGCCCAGCCUCAUUUGCUUUCUUAUCCUUAACACUCCCCCAGCCCCAGAGAAACUGCCACAUAAACCACAAAAACCAAACAUCCCCCACAGGGGGAUGUGUUACUGUUCACAGCUUUUCUUGAUGGCCUAGUACAGUCUUGGGAACAGGAUUUCUGUAUACUGAAAGUCUAACAGUAGCUCUUAGACUCGCCUCUCUUAGGUAGUCAUGCUGUGCAUUUUUUUCAUCUGUGUACCAUGUUUGAUUUGUCUGAUAAAUUUGGAGUUUUUCUGAGAAAUAAAGCAGUAAUGCAGCAUCAACUUAUUAAAAUACAUUUUAAGCCUUUAAAAAAAAAGAGUAAAUUUACUGCAUGUAUAAUACACCCCAAUAAAUCUGAC